GAAAAAGAAAUCACUUAAUUUUUCUUUCACCAGACCCAUUAUUUUCGUUCCAAUACUCAGAGUUGCUCCUCCGGUGAUGAAGUAAAUUCUGAUUAAGAGGGAGAUGUCAAUAAUGAAAAUUGUUAGGCAUCCACAUAUUGCCCGUCUGCAUCAGGUUCUUGGAGGUCAGGGUUAUGAUGGUGCAGCUGCAGACAUCCUCUAUGCACUUAUGGCUGGACAUCUUCCAUUGUCAUAGACGGAUCUCCCCACCCUAAACAACA